ACCUACCAGCAACAGCCCUACCAUCAGCAGAAGCAGCAACCGUAGAUUUUCGCAGCCGCCUCUACCGCCUUCAUGCCUCCACCUGCCAAAUGAUUUCAUAUGCCGAUAUGACCGCUCCCCCUCCACAACCCAUCUAGGAUCCACCCCACCCAUCACCUCCCUUCCGCCCCUACCUAACAAUCUCCUCGGAUCAGGUUCUGGUUCAGGCAUGCCUUACUUCCACAAGCUCGACUUCCCAAAGCAUGAUGGUUCGGUCGAUCCUCUUGGUUGGCUCAAUAGCUCAAGCGCGAUUUUGGCAUGCCAAAAGGGAGCAGUUCAAGGAAGCUUGCCGCGUUCAGUUUGGGCCGUCACUCCACACCAAUCCCUUGGGCGAGUAGGCACAACUGCCAUUCACUUCCUCGACUAGUGCUCAUGUGCUACAACAAUGAGCCAUUAACACCGUCUCAACAACGGUUUCUGUGCACAGUAGGUCUGCCCUAUGGUCUUCGCAUUGACGUCAAGCUUCAGCUUCCAUCUGACCUGCACACCGCCUUCUCCCUCGCCAAGGCCUAUGAGCAGCAGCAUUCCCUCCAACAACGUCACUGCACCAGCCUUCUGGUCCUACAGGGCACUUUUGCCCCUCCGAUCUUCCUGCGGUCAAUGCAUCUACAAUACCUUCCCCACCAGCGCCACUAGCACAUGUUUUGUCGUCAACCACUCCGGAGCCAACCCCGCCAUGGCAGGUUCGGCGCCUCAAUCCAGCAGAGUUUAGCAGAACGUAGUCGCCAAGGCCUUUGCUUUAUCUGCGACGAGAUUUAUGUUUGGGGUCACCGGUGCGCGCGGCUCUUCUACAACUUACAACCUGCGGACAAGCUGUUUUUCAAGGAAGAGAGAGAUGUUAUGUGGACCAGCCCAUCAAACAUGGAGUCUUAUCCCUUAAUUAGAGUCCUAGUUGAUAAAGCAUCUUUGUUAGUGAAGAGCCCAGUGGAGUCUUAUAUUACUUAAUUAGAGUCCUAGUUGAUUAAGCAUCUUUGUUAGGAAAGAGUCCAGUCAGUUUAGAGAUUGUAUUAGAGUUUGAAUAGAUUUACGGGCUUGUUUGCCAAGUCUUGUCUAUUAUCUAAAGGGACCGGCCCCUCAAUAAAGCAGAGAAGAAUAUUGUCGUUUACUUUUA